ensembl:snRNA U2 U2 spliceosomal RNA
AAAACUUUUUCGAAAGAAAAAAAAAAAUCUGUUCUUAUCAGUUUAAUAUCUGAUAUGUCCCCUAUCUGGGGACAACAUAUUAAAUUGAUUUUUGGAUCACGGAGCUGGAGCUGGAGCUUGCUCUAUCCACUCAUUAGCCUGGUAUUGCAGUGUCUCCAGGAACGGUGUGCUUCCC